rnacentral:rRNA from 1 species
AGCGAACGCUGGCGGCAGGCUUAACACAUGCCAGUCGAGCGGGCAUCCUUGUGGUGUCAGCGGCAGACGGGUGAGUAACGCGUGGGAACGUGCCCUUCGGUUCGGAAUAACUCAGGGAAACUUGAGCUAAUACCGGAUACGUGCGAGAGCAGAAAGGUUUAUCUGCCGAAGGAUCGGCCCGCGUCUGAUUAGCUAGUUGGUGAGGUUAUGGCUCACCAAGGCGACGAUCAGUAGCUGGUCUGAGAGGAUGAUCAGCCACACUGGGACUGAGACACGGCCCAGACUCCUACGGGAGGCAGCAGUGGGGAAUAUUGGACAAUGGGGGCAACCCUGAUCCAGCCAUGCCGCGUGAGUGAUGACGGCCUUAGGGUUGUAAAGCUCUUUUCUGCGGGACGAUAAUGACGGUACCGGAGGAAUAAGCCCCGGCUAACUUCGUG